AUGAGUGUCAUCAGUUGGAACUGUCGGGGGCUUGGGAACCCCGAGGCAGUUCGGGAGCUUCGCAGCGUCGUGAAGCAAGAAGGGCCUACCUUACUCUUUGUCAUGGAAACAAAGAUAAGGGCAGCAAGGGUGGAGAACCUGAAGUUCACUUUGGGUUUCGAGGGUUGUUUUGCAGUAAACAGUGUUGGUUUAAGCGGAGGCAUCUGA
rnacentral:rRNA from 1 species